UGCUCCGCUGCCGGCCACGUCUCCACGCCGGGCCGCGGGCACUUCCCCGCCGUCCGACGGCCGCCCGGCCGCCGCAGGCCUGCCGCGCCCGGAUGCGUCUGUUCCCAGAGCGGGGCAUCUGCCCAUGUCCCACGUGUGCCACAAAGCAUGCCAUGGCCAGCAAGUGCUCCUCGAAGCUGCUCUCCCCUCCUGCAAAGCCAGACCUCAGCCAGCAAGCACACGGUGCCAAGCCCGCCACUCUCCAGGAAGGACAACGGCCCAGCUCGAGAGCACACCCUGAGCAACUGCGUCUGAUCCUUCAGCCAAGCAGCAGGGAAUCAUUAGCAGCCUGAGGAGUGGCCAGCUGGGAGCCUCAGGGACCGCC